rfam:Danio rerio chromosome 4, GRCz11 reference primary assembly.
GCUCGUCUAGUUCAGUCAGUAGAGCAUGAGACCCUUAAUCCUACGGUCGAGGGUUCGAGCCCCACGUUGGGCG